AAGCUUGCUUUGAUGGAUGGCGACCGGCGCACGGGUGAGUAACACGUAUCCAACCUGCCGACAACACUGGGAUAGCCUUUCGAAAGAAAGAUUAAUACCGGAUGGCAUAAUUAUUCCGCAUGGGAUAAUUAUUAAAGAAUUUCGGUUGUCGAUGGGGAUGCGUUCCAUUAGGCAGUUGGCGGGGUAACGGCCCACCAAACCAACGAUGGAUAGGGGUUCUGAGAGGAAGGUCCCCCACAUUGGAACUGAGACACGGUCCAAACUCCUACGGGAGGCAGCAGUGAGGAAUAUUGGUCAAUGGACGAGAGUCUGAACCAGCCAAGUAGCGUGAAGGAUGACCGCCCUAUGGGUUGUAAACUUCUUUUAUACGGGAAUAAAGUUAGCCACGUGUGGCUUUUUGUAUGUACCGUAUGAAUAAGGAUCGGCUAACUCCGUGCCAGCAGCCGCGGUAAUACGGAGGAUCCGAGCGUUAUCCGGAUUUAUUGGGUUUAAAGGGAGCGUAGGCGGGUUGUUAAGUCAGUUGUGAAAGUUUGCGGCUCAACCGUAAAAUUGCAGUUGAUACUGGCGACCUUGAGUGCAACAGAGGUAGGCGGAAUUCGUGGUGUAGCGGUGAAAUGCUUAGAUAUCACGAAGAACUCCGAUUG
rnacentral:rRNA from 1 species